rnacentral:lncRNA from 1 species
GGGUCCGAGUUCCUACCUCUCACACUCGUGGUUAGUUGAUCUUAUUGGGGAUUCAAUGAUCAAAAGUUGGCGAGUCCUCAUAUUCUGAGGACUAUGACACUUUUAUUGCUUUCUUUACUUCCAUUUUUAGAAUUUGUAUGUGAUGUAUGAAUUACGUCCUAAUCACUUUCUUAUGAUGUAAUAAAUGGCUUGUUGAGACUUAUGUUUGACUUUCACUUUUGUCAAAAUGUUUUAUAAUAUAAGACUGUUCGUUGUACUUAUU